rnacentral:rRNA from 1 species
GCGCACCAGGCGCGAAACCUUUACAAUGCACGAAAGUGUGAUAAGGCUACCCGGAGUGCUAAAUUAAAUUUUAGCUGUUAUAGGUGUGUAAAUAACCCUAUGAGAAAGGAGAGGGCAAGGCUGGUGCCAGCCGCCGCGGUAAAACCAGCUCUUCAAGUGGUCGGGAAUAUUAUUGGGCUUAAAGUGUCCGUAGCCGGUUUAGUAAGUUCCUGGUUAAAUCUGGCAGCUUAACUGUCAGUCAGCUAGGAAUACUACUUUACUAGAGGGUGGGAAAGGUUUGAGGUACUCCAGGGGUAGCGGUGAAAUGCGAUAAUCCUUGGGGGACCACCAGUGGCGAAGGCGUCAAACUGGAACACGCCUGACGGUGAGGGACGAAAGCCAGGGGAGCGAAC